rnacentral:rRNA from 1 species
AGAGCGAACGCUGGCGGCAGGCCUAACACAUGCAAGUCGAGCGCCCGUAGCAAUACGGGAGCGGCAGACGGGAGAGUAACACGUGGGAACGCGCCCUUCGGUUCGGAAUAACUCAGGGAAACUUGAGCUAAUACCGGAUACGCCCUUACGGGGAAAGAUUUAUUGCCGAAGGAACGGCCCGCGUCCGAUUAGCUUGUUGGUGAGGUAAUGGCUCACCAAGGCGACGAUCGGUAGCUGGUCUGAGAGGAUGACCAGCCUCACUGGGACUGAGACACGGCCCAGACUCCUACGGGAGGCAGCAGUGGGGAAUAUUGGACAAUGGGCGCAAGCCUGAUCCAGCCAUGCCGCGUGGAUGAUGAAGGCCCUAGGGUUGUAAAGUCCUUUUAACGGGAGAUAAUGACGUACCGUAGAAUAAGCCCGGCUAACUUCCGUGCCAGCAGCCGC